rnacentral:lncRNA from 1 species
GUUGGCAAAGUAAUGUCUCUGCUUUUUAAUAUGCUGUCUAGUUUGGUCAUAGGUUUUCUUCCAAGGAGCAAGCGUCUUCUAAUUUCAUGGCUGCAGUCACUAUCUGUAGUGAUUUUGGAGUCCAAGAAAAUAGGAACCGACUCUCAUUGCCAGGGGCUCUGGGUGGAGCAGACUGCACCCUCGUGCAAACCAGGCGGAGGAACACACUUCACCCUCGUGUUCAUCCACAGAUGCUCCGUGUCUCUGGCCUGCCGUAAAAUCUGUGAAAGUCAUCUUUGUAAAACCACGCCAUUCCUCCGAGGGAAAUCCUUUGACUUUGCAGUGAAUAAGAGUAUGUUGGAGAAAGAUGUCACUGCCUAUGAAACGGGACACGUGGAGUGUUCCAGACUGAUGUUCUGCAUCGGAGGGGAGCCCAGCUGGACUCCAUUGGGAAAGGCUAACCCUUCCGCAGGGUGA